AUAAUGUGUUUUCUGAGUGGUGCUCAGGAACAAAGGCUCAGAGCUAAGUGCAGGACCAGAGCUCAGGCAUUCCCAGGCCUCAUGGUUACGUUAUGACCAAAUCAGCCUAGAAACUCACAGAUGCAACCCUGGUGGAAAGGACUGCCCAGCCUUAAAGCUUUUUGCUCUCUAGAGAGAAGUCCAAGACAUGCUGUUUGUCCUUCCCCAGGCAAAGCCCGCCCGAGGAACGGCGCUCUCGGCUGCGGGAGGGCGGAGAAGGAGCGAGCGACCCUCGGGGCCGGCCCUGCGUGAGUACCCGGGGAGCUCCGGCAGCCGCGGUGGGGCCACGGAGCUCUCCCUGCCCGGGGCUCUCCCUGCCCGGGGCUCUCCCUGCCCGGGGCUCUCCCUGCCCGGGGCUCUCCCUGCCCGGGGCUCUCCCUGCCCGGGGCUCUCCCUGCCCGGCCCGGAGCUCUCCCUGCCCGGGGCUCUCCCUGCCCGGCCCGGAGCUCUCCCUGCCCGGGGCUCUCCCUGCCCGG
rnacentral:lncRNA from 1 species